GGCGGCGGCAGCGGCUGAGGCGCGGGGCCGGGCGGAAGCGGGCGGCUGAGGCGCGGAGCGGCGCGGAGCGGAGCGGGGCGGGCGCCAUGUCGGGCCGGGAGGGCGGCAAGAAGAAGCCGCUGAAGCAGCCGAAGAAGCAGACCAAGGACCUGGAUGAGACAGAUCUGGCAUUUAAACAAAAGCAGAAGGAGGAGCAGAAGAAACUUGAGGAGAUGAAAGCAAAGGCUGCUGGAAAAGGGCCCCUCGCCAGUGGUGGAAUAAAGAAGUCUGGCAAAAAGUAGCUCGAUCGAACUACAAUGUAAGAUGUGAUGGAGUUAUUCAAUGGACCUGCAACAUUCUGAACAUCAAGAAAACUCGCUAGUGCUUAGGUAACAUUGUACAUUUUGUUUAGUCAGAAUAAAACUUUUUUGUUAAGAGGUGAUA